UAAGGAAUAUUGCUCAAUGGGAGAAAUCCUGAAGCAGCAACGCCGCGUGGAGGAUGAAGGGUCUAUGACUUGUAAACUCCUGUAAAGAAGGAAAAAAUUCCCAUUUGAUGGGAGAUGAUGGUACUUCUGGAGUAAGCCCCGGCUAACUACGUGCCAGCAGCCGCGGUAAUACGUAGGGGGCAAGCGUUGUCCGGAUUUACUGGGUGUAAAGGGUGCUCAGGCGGAUUUGUAAGUCAGAGGUGAAAUCUUACAGCUUAACUGUGAAAAUGCCUUUGAUACUGCAAGCCUAGAGUAUGGAAGAGAGAGAUGGAAUAUCUGGUGUAGCAGUGAAAUGCGUAGAUAUCAGAUAGAACACCAAUGGCGAAGGCAGUCACUUGGUCCAUUACUGACGCUAAAGCACGAAAGCGUGGGUAGCAAACA
rnacentral:rRNA from 1 species